GAAAGUGAUGAGCUCUGAGGGGUUGAGCACCCAUCAAAAGCUCUGCAGAGGGGACCAUCAUUAACGGCAUUUACGAAGACAUCCACUUAUUCCAACAGCAGGAGGAAGACCAACGCUUCUUAUCAUAAACACAAGUUCCUGCUAUACACAACACAUCCUUGAAUUCUAGGGAAGCCAAGAUGUACAUGAAAUGACUGCAGGUCUUAAAGGUCUUGAAUCUAAUUGUGGCACUGGGGCAUAUGUAGAGAUAAAUAUCACGUAGCAUAUGCUAAGGUGAUUUCGAAGAUCUAUUCUAUCUUAAGACACUGUAAGUCUAAUUAUU
rnacentral:lncRNA from 1 species